UACUGUUUUAGUGGAUCAAAUCCCCUGAUA
rnacentral:piRNA from 1 species